rnacentral:rRNA from 1 species
UACCCGCAGCUCAAGUAGUGGUCAUUAUUAUUGGGCCUAAAGCGUCCGUAGCUGGCUUGUUAGAUGCCUGGGUAAAUCGAUGCGCUUAACGCAUCGAAUUCCGGGUAGACCGGCAAGCUCGAGACCGGGAGAGGCGUGAGCUACUCGAGGGGUAGGGGUAAAAUCCUGUAAUCCUUCGGGGAGGACCAGUGGCGAAGGCGUCACGCUAGAACGGCUCUGACAGUGAGGGACGAAGCCCUGGGGCGCAAACCGG